GCCGAGAUGGUUUAAUUGGUUAAGGCGUCGUUUUGGAGAGGCAGAGGACGCGGGUUCGAUGCCCGCUCCUGGCA
rnacentral:tRNA from 1 species